CCGUAAUUAUUGUAUGGCUUUGCCUUACAAUAUAAAGCGCCUUGGGCAACUGUUUGUUGUGAUUUGGCGCUAUAUAAAUAAAAUUGAUUUGAUGUGUCAUCAAAGCUAUAAAAAAAACAAUAUGAUGCUCAUUCAACACACCUGCAGGUGGCGCAAGUGCUGCAACUAUAGCAACAAUUACAUUCUUUGAUUGUAGGAGGCUGCAUCACAAUUUUAACAUCUAUAAAUGUAGUUUGCUGGUACCGUUGUUUUUUCUGUCCAGUAGGUGGCAUAACCAGUCUGACAAACACCAAACAGCACCCCCUUGUGGUGUAUCCAAAGAAAUCAUUAUAUUCACAAACUGGUGAUAUUUUGCCGGUAUAAAAAUGUACGAGGUCAUAUAAAUUAUUUUCUCUCUAAGGUUGUUGGCCUUCAAGUGAUCUAAAGUACUGCAGUCCUGCAAAAAACAAAAAAACAACAAAACAAAACAAAAGCGUCAGGUAGGCAGAGGCAGUUUACUACAAACUAUGAGUGAAAAUGAAUGUCGUGCAAAAAUGAGUGAAAAUGAAUGUCGUGCAAAAGAGUGAACAUUAAGGUGUUGUUUAUCCGGUUUACUCUCCAGUCUGAGAGGGCAAUUUGUCAUAAAAAUGUGUUUAAAAAAAAAAAAAAAAAAAAAAGGAAAAACAAAAAAGAUGAAUCAUCAGCCCUUUGUCCAGCUGAAGUGUUGAACAAAUACAGGUUUGCGAAAGAUUAAAAACGCAACAAUGAUGAAAAGGAACUUAGUCACCGUGGCAACGGUUCAUGUCACAGAUACAAACAUUGGCGAGUGGCUGUGCUGUCUGGGCUCGACAGGUAUUACCUGUGCUGAAACAGGCAGAACAAGGUGAUUAUUAACAUUUCCAUGGAGAGUUCUCUGAUUGUUUCUGCUGAUUAUUUGUUUUCUGUCAGCUCCUUAAAUGGUCAUCAUAUCACGAGGAAGUUUCAGCAUGGAAUAUUACCCACAUUAAUAUGUUUUAAAAAAAGUCAAGUAUGAAUCUCAAUACAUUCAUUGUAUUUUCAGACACACAUGCACACAGAUAUAAACAGAUAUUUACACACAGGAGAAACCAGCACGCUGCUCAGCUUCUGCUUCCACUUCUCCUUAAAAGUUCAUGUCUCAAACAAUAAAUGAUUUGACAGUGUGGUGAUGAUGUUGGCAGUAAACUGGGGAAAAACGUUUUUUUUUUUUUUUUUUAAACAUCAAUUAAACUUCUUCGGAUGUGAUCCAAAAGAGUUCCAAAUGCAUCAUGGGAGUCACACAGGACGGUUCCACAGAUACAGUUCAGUUCCAAAAGCAUGUGCUUGUGUGCUUAUGGGCAUGUGUGUGUGUGUGUGUGUGUGUGUGUGUAGUCAGUCUGAGUGAAACAGUGCAUAUGAUGAAUCAACAUAAGUGGUAACUUGUUCAAGUAAUGAGAACACACACCAAAAUCAUCUUUGUCAGCGUUUUCUGGGUUCUGUUGCUUUGGCUCUCGUGUAGUAUCAGACCUGACCAUGUGGUGCACCACAAUGAACGCAUGAGCAAAGUUUUUCCCUUCAAAAACUCAGUACUAAACACCAAAUUUCAAUAAGUGAAUUCAAUCAAAUAAGAACUCUAUGCAGCCAUGAGGGAUUUUAAGAUAACUGUGUUAUGAAAUCUGGCAACAUUCAGCGUACGGCAUAGUUUCUUCAGAACAUGACCUCCGGUCUGCAUUGUCAGGCUCGUUAUGUAAUUUGAUUGUAAUUUUGUAAUUUUAGGAUUACUAAAAUUGUGCAUUUUUGGAAAGUGUAUGCAAUAGCCAAUCAGAAAACAGACUAUUCAAUUUUCCUAAAGACCACCAACCACCACCAUUGCAUUCCAUCCAUCCAUUCAUCCAUCUUCUAUACCCACAUCAAUUAAAGGUCACUGGGGGCUUAUCCAAGCAGUCAUAGGGCGUGAGCCGGGGUACACCCUGGACAGGAUGCCAGUCUGUCACAGGGCCACAUACAGACAAACAAACAUAUUCAGACUCGCACAUCUACAGACAAUUUAAAGUUUCCAAUCCACCUAACCUGCAUGUCUUUGGAUGUGGGAGGAAGCCAGAGCACUCGGAGAGAACCCAUGCAAAUACAGGAAGAACAUGCAAACUCCACACAGGAAGACCGCAGGCAGGAGUCAAUCCUUUGACCUUCUUGCUGUGAGGCCACACUGCUAACCAUUAAGCUACCAGGGUGGGUUCCUUACACUGAAAAUACUAAACCACUGUCAUCAGUGUCAAGCUGAAAUUAUAAACUAUAAUUUUAAGCCUCCAUUUUUACAAAGUUAAGCCACAGUGGCUUCUGGAAUAAAGGCAUCACACAUUUUGUGAUCGGCUAUUGGCUAUUUCUUAUUGGCUAAUAUGUAAUUUUUUUUUUAAAAAUGUAAGAUUUUGCAAAUAUGCACAAAGUUCCAAUAAAAGCUGGAACCGGAACACAGUGAACUUUACUAUUUGGCCAGUUUACAACUGGGAGGAGACCCAUGGUUUCUAAAUCUGAGGUAGUGGAAAACUGGACUGCCCCCUUCAGGACAGGAGCAAGUUACCGAGCCAAAUGAAGGAUGUGAU